AUUGAACGCUGGCGGCAGGCCUAACACAUGCAAGUCGAACGAGUGGCGGACGGGUGAGUACUGUCUGGGAAACUGCCUGAGGGAUGGGGAUACCUACUGGAAACUGUAACUACUACCGCAUACCAUCAGAUGUGCCCAGAUGGGAUUGGCUUGUUGGUGGGGUAACGGCUCACCAAGGCGCCGAUCCCUAGCUGGUCUGAGAGGAUGACCAGCCACACGGGAACUGAGACACGGUCCAGACUCCUACGGGAGGCAGCAGUGGGGAAUAUUGCACAAUGGGGGAAAGCCUGAUGCAGCCAGGCCGCGUGUAUGAAGAAGGCCUUCGGGUUGUAAAGUACUUUCAGCGGGGAGGCGUUACCCGCAGAAGAAGCACCGGCUAACUCCGUGCCAGCAGCCGCGGUAAUAC
rnacentral:rRNA from 1 species